GAAACGCGAACCAAGCAGAACAGCCUCAUGGCUGUUUCGUGAGUCUUGGAGCCUCCCCGCCGCAAGGCGAGGGAGUGCA
rnacentral:sRNA from 23 species